CAACAGGGAUUGCCUUAGUAACUGCGAGUGAAGCGGCAAAAGCUCAAAUUUGAAAUCUGGCGUCUUCGGCGUCCGAGUUGUAAUUUGGAGAGAUAACUUCGGGGUGUCCUGCGUGCCAAUGUCCCUUGGAACAGGGCCGUCAUAGAGGGUGAGAAUCCCGUCUGGCGCGCAGGUUCAUUCCAUGUGAAGUGUCUUCGACGAGUCGAGUUGUUUGGGAAUGCAGCUCAAAGUGGGUGGUAAAUUCCAUCUAAAGCUAAAUAUUGGCGAGAGACCGAUAGCGCACAAGUAGAGUGAUCGAAAGAUGAAAAGCACUUUGAAAAGAGAGUCAAAAAGUACGUGAAAUUGUUGAGAGGGAAGCGCUUGAGACUAGACACAGCUUGUGGUGUUAAGCAGUCCUUCUGGGCUGUGUACGUGCCACUCGCUGGGCCAGCAUUGUUUGGGACGGCGGGAUAAAGGGGUCGGGAACGUGGCUCACCUCGGUGAGUGUUAUAGCCCGGCUCGUAAUACCGCCAGCCCCGAGCAAGGACCGCGCGUAAGCUAGGAUGCUGGUGGAAUGGUCUUCAGCGACCCGUCUUGAAACACGGACCAAGGAGUCUAACAUCUAUGCGAGUGUUUGGGUGUAAAACCCUUGCGCGCAAUGAAAGUGAACGUAGGUGGGAGCCCUCUGGGUGCACCAUCGACCGAUCCUGAUGUCUUCGGAUGGAUUUGAGUAAGAGCAUAGCGGUUGGGACCCGAAAGAUGGUGAACUAUGCCUGAAUAGGGUGAAGCCAGAGGAAACUCUGGUGGAGGCUCGCAGCGGUUCUGACGUGCAAAUCGAUCGUCAAAUUUGGGUAUAGGGGCGAAAGACUAAUCGAACCAUCUAGUAGCUGGUUCUGCGAGUU
rnacentral:rRNA from 1 species